AUUGAACGCUGGCGGCAUGCCUUACACAUGCAAGUCGAACGGCAGCACGGGAGCAAUCCUGGUGGCGAGUGGCGAACGGGUGAGUAAUAUAUCGGAACGUGCCCAGUCGUGGGGAUAACGUAGCGAAGCUACGCUAAUACCGCAUACGAUCUAUGGAUGAAAGCGGGGGAUCGCAAGACCUCGCGCGAUUGGAGCGGCCGAUAUCAGAUUAGGUAGUUGGUGAGGUAAAGGCUCACCAAGCCGACGAUCUGUAGCUGGUCUGAGAGGACGACCAGCCACACUGGGACUGAGACACGGCCCAGACUCCUACGGGAGGCAGCAGUGGGGAAUUUUUGGACAAUGGGCGCAAGCCUGAUCCAGCAAUGCCGCGUGCAGGA
rnacentral:rRNA from 1 species